rnacentral:misc_RNA from 1 species
AACGCACCUUGCGCCCUUUGGUAUUCCGAAGGGCAUGCCUGUUUGAGUGUCGUGAAACUCUCAACCCCCUCGUUUUGUAAUGAAUCGAGUGCGGGCUUGGAUUGUGGUCGUCUGCCGGUCUUCAAUUGAUCAGCUCGACUGAAAUACAUGAGCGUACCUGUAGUUGGUAGCAGUAGCUUAUCCUGGCGUGAUAUAUUUAUUCGCCGAGACUGUUACAUGCAUUACUCCAAUCUCAGCGGCGCUAUAUAAUGCCGUGCGGCUUUUUAGCCAAUCGAUCCUAACUCAUAGACCUCAGAUCAGGCAGGGCUACCCGCUGAACUUAA